GACGAACGCUGGCGGCGUGCCUAAUACAUGCAAGUUGAGCGCUGAAGGUUGGUACUUGUACCGACUGGAUGAGCAGCGAACGGGUGAGUAACGCGUGGGGAAUCUGCCUUUGAGCGGGGGACAACAUUUGGAAACGAAUGCUAAUACCGCAUAAAAACUUUAAACACAAGUUUUAAGUUUGAAAGAUGCAAUUGCAUCACUCAAAGAUGAUCCCGCGUUGUAUUAGCUAGUUGGUGAGGUAAAGGCUCACCAAGGCGAUGAUACAUAGCCGACCUGAGAGGGUGAUCGGCCACAUUGGGACUGAGACACGGCCCAAACUCCUACGGGAGGCAGCAGUAGGGAAUCUUCGGCAAUGGAGGAAAGUCUGACCGAGCAACGCCGCGGGAGUGAAGAAGGUUUUCGGAUCGUAAAACUCUGUUGGUAGAGAAGAACGUUGGUGAGAGUGGAAAGCUCAUCAAGUGACGGUAACUACCCAGAAAGGGACGGCUAACUACGUG
rnacentral:rRNA from 1 species